rnacentral:lncRNA from 1 species
GGGCUUUAAUAAAUGAAUGUGUAACGAAUGAGCAGCACUUGGCAGUGAGGCUCACAGCUACUUGGAAGCUGGAGACCCGAGGGACAGAAGGAGCACCAUUUGAAGAAGGGGUCAGCUGUGGACCUACUGCAGGAGAAGAUCCCUGACAAAUCUGACCUCCUUCCAAGUGCAAGGGAAAAAAACAAUCUUUUCCCCCCCAAAACACCUACCUCAAACAGCAAUUCCUCCCGACUCCUAGUGGUGCCCCAGUUACACAGCAGAAAGAACAAAGAAGUGAUUUAAGCAUCUUGACAUCGAAAUAGCUAUUGCCAAACACCAGAGGAUCAGCAGAAUCAUUAGAUUCCAGAAAAUGCAGAACCUCUGAGGCCUCUGUGUUCUUCCAUCCUGAUGUCAGACUGCUGGCCGCCCACGCCGAGCUGCUCUGUAAGAAUGUGCAGCCAGAAAGACGGGAGGGGGGAGGAAGGGCAAGGUCGCUUUGCGUGGAAUCUGGAAGCUCAGUGUUGAAGAUAAGUUAAAAACCAUCAGUGGACACCGGGGUUUCUCUGCUCCCAGUGAUGUGGGAACACAUUGGGGUGGCCCUGUCAGCCGAUCGGACGCAGCUGUGGGGUGUCACUGAGUUUAUCAGUCGGAGGCCCGACAGGAAAACAGAAUUAAUCCCAGGUGGCUCAAAUGAAAGACUCUAAGAGAUCAACCGAGAGGCAGGUUGGGUUAAGGGAACAAGGGAGAUGCCCAGAGAGUUCCGUCAGCCUGGAGCCAGGACUUCCCUGAGGCUAAAGGGGAAGGAGGGAAUUUUGGGGCGGGAACCCCUUUCCUGCCGGAUGCCUCCCACUGGCCAACCUGGCAGUCCCGGCCCGGGUGCCCAGGAGGAUGCCUUUCUCGGGGGUCAGCGUCCGGGGCUCAGAACGCACGGAGGCACCAGCCUUUGCACCUGAUGCCAGCAGUGUGGCCGGAAGCAUGAACUGGGGGAAGCAGAGUGUGAGGCAUGCACUGGCAAGAUGCUCCUGGAGAACCGCUAAGAAGCCAAGGCAAGAGAUGGUUCAUUUUGUUUUGGUUUCUAUCAUUUAAAAAUACUGUAAGUUCAUUUUAGUGUUAAUGUGCAAGAAUAUUCAUUUUUUCCUAUUGCCUGGAACCCAGCCCC